CCUGGCGUCCUUAGCGCGGUGGUCCCACCUGACCCCAUGCCGAACUCAGAAGUGAAACGCCGUAGCGCCGAUGGUAGUGUGGGGUCUCCCCAUGCGAGAGUAGGGAACUGCCAGGC
rnacentral:rRNA from 1 species